GGAUGUGAGGGCGAUCUGGCUGCGACAUCUGUCACCCCAUUGAUCGCCAGGGUUGAUUCGGCUGAUCUGGCUGGCUAGGCGGGUGUCCCCUUCCUCCCUCACCGCUCCAUGUGCAUCCCUCCCGAAGCUGCGCGCUCGGUUGAAGAGGACGACCUUCCCCGAAUAGAGGAGGACCGGUCUUCGGUCAAGGGUAUACGAGUAGCUGCGCUCCCCUGCUAGAACCUCCAAACAAGCUCUCAAGAAAAGGAAGCAGUCUACCAACUGGGCUACACACCCAGUUCAGAAAUUGUAAUU
rnacentral:snRNA from 1 species